GCUCCAAUGGCCUAGUGGUUAGAACGUCCGCCUUGGAUGCGGGAGGUCGCAAGUUCGAACCCCGGCCCAGUCA